rnacentral:rRNA from 1 species
UGAACGCAGCGACAGGCCUAACACAUGCAAGUCAGGGGCAGCACAAGGAGCAAUCUGAGGUGGCGACCGGCGCACGGGUGAGUAACACGUAUGCAACCUGCCUGUAAGCGGGGAAUAACCCGUUGAAAGACGGACUAAUACCGCAUAAUACUAAAUUACUGCAUGGUAAUUUAUUUAAACAUUUAUGGCUUACAGAUGGGCAUGCGCAUGAUUAGCUAGUUGGAGAGGUAACGGCUCCCCAAGGCAACGAUCAUUAGGGGUUCUGAGAGGAAGGUCCCCACACUGGUACUGAGACACGGACCAGACUCCUACGGGAGGCAGCAGUGAGGAAUAUUGGUCAAUGGACGAGAGUCUGAACCAGCCAAGUCGCGUGCAGGAAGAAUGUCCUUAAUGGAUUGUAAACUGCUUUUGCAGGGGAAUAAAGUGCAUCACGUGUGAUGUUUUGUAUGUACUCUGCGAAUAAGGAUCGGCUAACUCCGUGCCAGCAGCUGC